ACUUAUGUAAUUUAAAAUAAAAUAUUUCAUUUUCAAUGAAAAAAUAAAUAAUAUUUCAUAAGUA
rnacentral:tRNA from 1 species